AGCGCUCACAGCAAAACACAGCUGGCAUGUCUAAUUUUAGCCUUGACUGCCUUGAAAAGGGACCCUUAAGGGAAAUAUAUUUUCGCUGAAACCAUUUGUAUUAUAAUGUAACAGCUGACAGACAUGUCAGAAUAUUACUUAUUAUUGGUGGGGAAAAACUCUGUCAGGUAAUUGUGCUUUUUUUUGUGAUGACAUCGGGAAAGUGAUUAAAGCAUCCCUGAAUCAAAAUCAUCAUAGAUAGACAGUGAGAGAACCAGAGCUUUUAUUUAUGAAGACGCCUGUAAACCUAAUGGGAUACCUCCUUUGAUGCUUACAAAACGGAUGUAAGGGUAAGAAUGAUCAUUUCGGCUAUGGCAAGUUGGUCCUUGUGAUCUGACGAUGCAGGGCUUGCUAAUAGUAGUCCUGGCAUAGACUCUCAAAUUUCUUCAAUGCUUAGCAUCCUCCGUGUCGUCCGAGAAGUAAAAGGAAAUACUGCAGCUUUCUGGACUGCAUACCCUGCUCCCUGGAGAGGUUCCACCCACCGGCUGGAAGGAGAGGAAGUGAAUGAAAGGACAGGAGGAGCCCGAACACCAUGUCACUCUGGAAGGGAGACAGCAGCAACCAGGCUGUGCAAGUGAGUGGUGGAAGACGAAGGAUCUCUGAAGCCUCAUCAGUCAUCGGGACCAUCAGGAAUAGUGGUUUAAGAGGACGCUCGGCCUGGGGCACUAUACCCUGUCAUCGAGUUCCCUGCCUCGGAGAUAAAGAUUCCAGCUACAUGGGUAAACGCCUGGAUCAGCCACAAAUGUACCCCCAGUACACUUACUACUAUCCUCACUGUCUCUAAACCAAGACAGGAGCAACACCACAUGGAAAGGUCUUCCCUGAACCUCCAGUUCCCCCCAAAAGAAGAGAACUCAAGGGGACAAUCAGCACCACCACCACUGCAGAUUACUUCAUGAGAGCCCCUACUCUGGUCUCGUGCCAUGAGAAUUGCAGGGGAAACUGUGAGGCUUGCAAUAACCAACACACAGAUCUUGGCAGAUGCAAUUCAUGACUACAACUCCCCAAGUGAUUAGUAAUCCAAGUAGUGGCUCCAACCAGCAGCUUUGCUCAUCACCAGAACCAAGUCUGGGACAAACUGUGACCAGAGAACUCACUGGAGUACAUAUCUGCUUGUUUUGGGUUCUCAUACAAGUUUUGCUGACUCUAGAAACUGUAUCCAAGCAAGGAGUUGUAGCUCCAUUUGCUGGGGAAACUGUCUUCUGGUCCAUCUUGCCAGAGGGCACUGACAAGAAAACCUAAAAGCUGUAUAGCUCAGCAAUACUCCAACCAAGAGGUGUGUGGGUGGUUCGGACAGUCCCCGAGGCAAAGCCAGUACAGGGUAUGAAAAAUUCCCCUGCUGCACCCAGGCAGGGGAAUUAAUUCACAGCGAAGGCUGAGGGUGCAUCAUGGCCUCACCCAUAAGAAAAACUCGUUUGGGGAACAUGUGAGCAAGGCCAGGAGGCACCCCUCCCAACCCCACCCAAGCAAGUAACCUGAAACACAGCCACACCCACUGUGGCUCCCAGGCCCCAUCUGACCAGAAGGGCUGGCAAGGAUAUCUGGAAGCUCUGUAACCAACAAUGUGUAAGCCAAUAAGCAGAAAGGCAGAGCUAACUGUCUAGAGCAAAGCCAGUACCAGGUGUCGAGGGGUGGCCUGCUGUACCUAGGCAGAGGAAUUAACUCAUAGCCAAGGUAGAGAGUAGCUUCUGGCUCUUACUGAGUCAAAAGACAGAAAAGCAGAGAAGCCUGGAGCAGCACCUCUCCAUCCCAUUCAGAAAAGGGAACUAAAACAGCCCCACCACUGAGGAUAGCAUCUCCCAGCCCCACCUGACCAGAAGGGCUGGUGAAAAAAGGGAGCUACAAAAAGCCAGCAAUACUGUAGCCAAGAGACAGACAGGCAUAUACAACAGUGAGCAGAACAAAGCCAGUGGCUCAUAUUUGGCCAGGGAACUUGGGACACAGGUCAGGAUAAGAUAACACACAAAGAGCUUUAUUGCCUUUAAAGGUGCCCCUCCCACUGCUCCUGGGCAGAGAAACUAAUUCAUGGCCCCAAUUAUAUUAAUAUAGCCUUCAGCUUUUGUGACCUGGGAACCUAACAAGACCACAUGGGGAGCUGCUGUACAGGCCAUCCAAAAGCUCUGCUUCUAGCUGCACU